GUAGCGCGAACAUCGCCAACGUGGGACAGACGGAUGCUGCAUCGCGACGCAUUUAAUUGUGAGUAUCACGAAGGAGCGACAGUGGUGAAGUAAGAGAGAAGAAAGCACAUUAGGUGUCGGUGGAACAAUAAUUCUCUCUAUAGAUCUGCGUAUAAUUGAGCAUUUUAACAAUUUGAGUAGAGGAGUAGAUAUCUGAUAGGUAUAUCGGCGGAAUAAUCAAUAAGAUCAAUAUGUAACUGACGAUCUUAUGACAAUCUGAGAGAAGAGA